rnacentral:piRNA from 1 species
UUUUUUGCUCUCAAUAAGUCU